AGGGUUUGAUUAUGGCUCAGGAUGAACGCUAGCUACAGGCUUAACACAUGCAAGUCGAGGGGCAGCGGGAUUGAAGCUUGCUUCAAUUGCCGGCGACCGGCGCACGGGUGAGUAACGCGUAUCCAACCUUCCGCAUACUCGGGGAUAGCCUUCUGAAAAGGAGAUUAAUACCCGAUGGUAUCAAGAGAUUGCAUGAUAACUUGAUUAAAGAAUUUCGGUAUGCGAUGGGGAUGCGUUCCAUUAGGUAGUAGGCGGGGUAACGGCCCACCUAGCCAACGAUGGAUAGGGGUUCUGAGAGGAAGGUCCCCCACAUUGGAACUGAGACACGGUCCAA
rnacentral:rRNA from 1 species